UACGGGGGGGCAAGCGUUGUUCGGAAUUACUGGGCGUAAAGGCUCGUAGGUGGUCAACUAAGUCGGACGUGAAUCCCUCGGCUUAACCGGGGAACUGCGUCCGAUACUGGAUGGCUUGAGUUCGGGAGAGGGAUGCGGAAUUCCAGGUGUAGCGGUGAAAUGCGUAGAGUAUCUGGAGGAACACCGGUGGCGAAGGCGGAUCUCUGGGCCUUACCGUGACGCUCAGG
rnacentral:rRNA from 1 species